rnacentral:misc_RNA from 1 species
AACUUUUGACAAUGGAUCUCUAGGCUCUUGCAUCGAUGAAGAACGCAGUAAAAUGCGAUAAGUAAUGUGAAUUGCAGAUCUCGUGAAUCAUCGAAUCUUUGAACGCACAUUGCGCCCUAUAGAAUUCUGUAGGGCAUGCCUGUCUGAGCAUCAUAAUAUCUACUCAGAUCUUUGAUUAUUUUAUAUAGUCUUGGAUUUGGAUUUAAUCAGAGAAGUAACCUAUAUGAGUAGAUUACUCUUUGGAAAAAUAAAGGCAGUUAUAGUGAAACCUGUAUUAAACGUGAUAUUAAAAAGUUUCGUUUUUAAGGACUACAUCUUUGACUUGCCUUUAACCCACUUAACUCUUUUUGAUUGACCUCAGAUCAGGUAGGGAUACCCGCUGAACUUAAGCAUAUCAAUAAGCGGAGGCU